rnacentral:rRNA from 1 species
UACGAAGGGGGGCUAGCGUUGCUCGGAAUUACUGGGCGUAAAGGGCGCGUAGGCGGGUCGUUUAGUUAGAGGUGAAAGCCCAGGGCUCAACCCUGGAAUUGCCUUUAAUACUGGCGGCCUUGAGUAUGGCAGAGGUGUGUGGAACUCCGAGUGUAGAGGUGAAAUUCGUAGAUAUUCGGAAGAACACCAGUGGCGAAGGCGACACACUGGGCCAUUACUGACGCUGAGGCGCGAAAGCGUGGGGGAGCAAACAGGG